AUCCUUUCAAAUAACUAUGUUUUUGGUUUUAUGAUUUUGGUUCUUUGAUGCUUUCUUUUUGAGUUCCAGACUGUUUUCUAAGUUUUAUUGUUACAUUUGUUUAGUUCAAAAUAUUUUUUAAUUUCUCUGAGGCCCAUUAUGGCCAAUGGUUUAUUAGGAACAUGAUGUUUAGCUUUUAAGUAUCUAAGAAUUUUCUAGCUAUCUUUCUGUUAUUAAUUUCCAACUUACUCCACUGUAGUCUGAAAACACAUUUUGUACAAUUUUUGUUCUUUGAAGCCGUUGAUCAUGGGCCAGGAAGUGACCUACUUUGGCGAAUGCUCCGUGUGAAUCUGAGGAGAAUAUUUAUUCCCCAUCGAUGUUCUUGCUCUUUAGAGAUCUGACCCAAGUCCCUCAUCUCUCGUGCUUCUUCACGGGAAGGACGGUGAAUAUUCCUGCAGGGCUGCUGUGCUGGCAGGGAAUUCCCCCCUUUUUGUUUGAGUCUUAAUUUGUUCUUCCUUUCACUGCAUAUAAAAUCCCAUGAAUUUUUCCCUUCCAACCCUUGAAAUAUCUCACUCUUGCAUUUACUUGGUUUCUGAUCGAAAACCCUAUAAUUAUGCUCUUUGUUUUUCUAUAGAUAAGAUUUCCCUCAGAUUUCUUUGCAGGCUUUUGUCUUUGACCUACUGCAGGCUGAGUGGUGUGUGUGUGCACGUGCGUGUGUGUGUGCGUGUGUGCACGCGUGAAUGUAUCAGCCUGCAGUCCUGCUUGGCCCUCUCUGAGCUUCCUACAUGUGCCCCGGUAUUGUCAUUAUUUUUAGGAAACCCCGGUGUUCCUCCUCAGCUUUGCCUCCCUCUGCUGCACACGUGUUAAAUGCUGUGGGGGGCUCUGUGUCUGGGGCUCUGGGUCAGACCACGGAGCUCACUGACCCUUCCUCGCUUGUGUCUUGUGUACUCACGAACCAUCAAAAGCACGUGUCAUUUCUGCUCCGGUGCUUUGGGUUUCUCGUCUUCUCUCUCCAUCCGUCCCUAGAGUUCCCACCCUCUGCCUGCCUUACCCAUCCGCUCCUGCAUGCUGCCUACUUUCCUCACAGAGCUUUUAAUACACCAAUCGGAAUUAUUUUAGACCUAAUAGCUGUUAAUUUCAACAUCUGUGUCACACUGUGCCCGAUUUUGCUGCUUAUCUUCCCCUUCAAACUAUUUUUUCUUGCCUGUUUGCAAGCCUGCUAAUUUUUUUCUAAGUUGGGAAAUAUUUGAGGCCAUUAUUAUCUUAGGAGCAUAGUGUGAAGAUUUAUGUUAGACUCAGUAUUGGGUUGAUUUUUUUAUGUUUGCCAUAGUUUUAUAAGAUAUGCUCUAAAUAUAGAGUGAAUCUUUAAAUUUUUAAAAAUCAGAAAGACGCAUUGCCAUAAUCCCCCUCAAAACCUCCUGCCUCUUCAGCCACUGUUCCUGUCACUUUGUCAAGCAGUUCUCAAGUCCUGCUUUGGGAGUGUCUCAGCCCAGCGGGAUCAACAUGGUGAAUACUUCUGCAGGUGCCAGCCGACAGAAAGGGAUGCUCCAGAAGGUCUCAGUGCCUCUGCAGGCCACGCCUAUCCUGUAGCCAACCCAGGGACUAUGCCAGAGGCUCUCCCAGCUGGGAGCUCCAGUGCCUCCUGCUCAGGGCUACUUCACCAUCCAGUUGACUGACGAGUAUUUCUGGACCCCACACUGCAUGCCAAGAACCACCCUAAUUACCACUUGUGUAAGACUUGCCUUUGUGGGUUAUUUAAUUUCUCUCUCCCAGUCUAGGAUCAUCCCAAUUAAUUCCCCAUUCUGACAGUAUCGAGUAAUCAUGUCAUGUUAUUGAUAUAAACCCUUCAGUAUUAUUUUUAGUUCCUUUCUUGGCUCAAAAUUAUUAAUGGGCAAAGCUCAACCCUCUGUAGCGUGAUUCCAAGCAACCUGCCAAGUGCCAUCCUCAGCCUUGGCCCGCUACCAGGGACAUCGCUUUCCCUGGGCUUGCUUUCUUCUUUACUGGAUUUAAUCCAGGAUUCUCCCGUGAAAUGCACACCUUUCUCUCUGCCAGUGGAAAAGAAUUCACCCUUUAAGUAUCUUGCUAAAUGCUUCAUUAUUCACUAGGUUAAGGCUCGCAAGUGGGGUCUCAAGGAGCUAGGUGUACACCCAUAUUACAGCAGUGUUAUCCACAACAACUAAAAUGCAGGAGCAACUGAAAACUCCUUCGAUAGAUGAACAGGUGAAUGAAGAUGGAACGGUAUGCGGCUUUAAAAAGCAAGGAAAUUUAUCCCCAUGCUACAACAUGAGGGAGACUGGAGGGCGUUAUGCUUAAAGAUAUAAGCCGGUCACAGGAGGACAAAUACCGUGUGGCUCUACAAUUGUGAGGUGCUAAAAGUAGGCAGAACCACACAGGCAGAAAGUAGCACGGCGUCUGGGUGAGGGAAGAAUGGGGAUCACUGAGUGAGGAUUUUCAGUUCCGUGAGAAGGAAAGCGUCCUGCAGAUGGGGAUGUGAGAGACUGGUAAUUGCACAGCAUCGUGAUUGCAUAAUAAAUGCAGUACAAAACCACAUUGCAAAUAGUUAAAAUGCUAAAUUUUAAGUGUAUUUUUACCACAACAAAAAACUGAAGCAAAAAAGAAACUUCCCAGGAAGGUACACUCUGCCUCUGAUGAGGUUGGGGGCCACGCUUCCCGUUGCCUCUCUGUGUGGGCAGCUCCCACAAAUAGUGCGGGCCCUGUGCAAGCAUGACUCAGAAAACAUAUGUUCUGUCGAAAUGUUAUGUGACAGGUCGAAAUAUUGAGCAUUGCUAAGUAUGAGACUUCCCCUCUUUUCUGGGGACUUUGAAAAUAAGACAUGAGAUGUAUGUGGAAUCAAUAGAUUAAUAUAUUCAAAUCUCAGUUCCUCUCCUGUUUGCCAAAUUGCAGUUAUGCCGAGUUCUUUCACAAGACCUGGCUGUUCACACUCAGAAGUGCCCUCUGGUAGAUUCCGUGUUGCUGUCUACUUUGGCUUCUUGAUUUUAGUGAAACUUCUGAAUUGAUGCUUUUAUUAACUACACUGUGAAGCUGUACAGCAUGCGUAGACACAGGAACAGUAUGUGUGAGUCGUACAGCAUUUUUCUUACAUCUCCAGUAUUGAUCGACAUAGAAACCUUUUCUCAUCGUGCAUCAUUACUAACACAAAACACACUCAGUGUCAUGGAUGUUUAUCAUUUGUUUCUCUGGGAUUGCAGCUAAAAAUUUAUCAGCCUCUGUGAGUACAAAACCUCUGGUGUCACCGGGUGAUGUAUGCACCAUUGCCCAGCAUAUAUUCCUCAAAUGAAGAUGUUUCUCGCCUCGGCUCUGUGAUCUAGAUCGCAAUGGGAGAAGCGAUGUAUGGGAGUCACUCGUGAUGAUCAGAUGCACAGCUUUGGCGACUAGCACCUGUGCUGUGACAGUCAACACAGGAGAGAUAUUUUCCCUUUAAUAUGAUUGGUUAAUAUCAUGAGAUUUAAUGAUUUUAUUUUAUUUACAUCUCUAUUCCAUUUGUGAAGGCUGAAAAGAAAUCUGAGGAAGCUGCCAGUGUUGUAUCCGUAGGGACAUCGUGGGUGAGCCUGUUGGAAAGCAUUGCAGGGCUUGUUUGCGUCCUCCACGGUCUGUGCACUCUACUGAGGCUCUAAGUUCUAAGACUGAACUAUCCUUGCCUGGGCCUGUUAUUGGAAGCACCUGGAGAUGUGAGGAAAACUGGUCUGAAAAAGGCUCUUUGCAACACUUAUUGGUUUGAGAUCCACGCUUGUGUGUCCCAGGUCUGCUGCUGUUUUGGGGAGCUGAGUUCCCAGGAAACACAGUUGGAGUCUCUAUAGACUUCUGGACCUCUGGAACAUGGACUCCUCAUCCAAGCUCCAGCUGACAUCUGCCCACUGACACUGCUGGUCUCCAAGCAGAGGGAAACAGCUUGCAGAACCACAGCACAUCUUUGGAGGCUAUUUGGAUGACAACCUGGCUCUAUUCUCCAGCUCUUGUUUCUGAGGCCACAAGGCCAGUUCUCACAAGUGAAUGAGAGGCAAAGUGGCACGGGUCAUUAAGUGUGAGUGUAUCUCCUCCAGCUUCUCCAGGAGAAGGAGGGAAAGAAAGAGGCUCCUAGAAGCUGUUAAAGAUGUGAGGGGAGGAGCCCUCAUACCUGAGGCUGUGUGACACUCUCCACUCUUCCUGCAGAGAUGUGAAAACAUGAAGCAGCCAAUGCUCACUAACAGCUCAAGCCGAGAGGAUAUAAACUCUUUGGGGUUGCUCAUGGAAUGUAGUUCAAAGAGCUCUUGAACAGGAGAAUUCAGAAUCUGAUGUGGUACUUUCCACUUGGCUCCAUAAGAAGCAGGGGCUGAUAUACUGGGCCUCCGGGUAUUAAGCCGGCAUGUUGCUAAUUACCUUCUGCCAUCAAGGAGUUGCUGAGAUGCUGCCUUCUCAAUUUGGUGUGCUCCGAAGAGCCUGUUUAAAAUUGCACCAGCUCUCUAUUAAACCCUUGCACAUCCUUGUUUUUGUUCUGUUCCAUUUUACUUCAUAUUUUGUGCAGUUCCUUGUAUAUUGUAUCUGGGAGGUUGCAAGCUGCACAAGGCAAAGGCAUCUAUUUUUCCACUGAAACACUUCAAAUUGCUUGCAGGCUGCUGUGCACACAGUAGCUGCCUCGUAAUUAACCACCAGCGACCAUGAGGCUUCAUUGUCUACGCAGAGUAUGCAAUGCUCAGCCUCCUGCAGGCUCUUUAAACCUGACCAAAGAGCCGGUUAACCUUUGGAUGAAAGCAGAUUGAAUUAUUCUUCAUGACUGUGGCUUCUUCCUUUCUUUAUUUCUAAAGACAUUUGUGAAGACUCAGGUAUAAAACUAUGUGGUCUGAACUGAAUAUAGUGUUUGUCAUAAACUUCUUAUUUAUGGAAUAAAGUAGGCACACAUGUGCAUAAGCCUGGAAAAGCAAAACAAUUCUAUGUACUCAAGUGCAUUUAUUUACAUGUAUUUCCUAGUGUAGUUUGAAAUCCCUACAAAUUGUGGAAAUUUUUUUAGUGCUUAUGCUGCUAAUGCCUUUAGAGGAUGGCUUUGACUUGUUACUCAGCUAUUCAUUCAGGGAGUUAUUUCUGAAUAUCUGUUUUGUGCCAAAUUCUGCCCAAAGGCAAGAGAGCAUUCCUGUAGCCUAUGUGCAAAUCCACGCCUGUGUACAGGGGAUUCUUCAGCAAUGCAUUUGCAUAUUUCUGUGAACUCAGUUGCCUGUGAUUUCAAAUUCAGGAGUCCUAAGAGUGCAAACAGUUGCAUAGCAUUCUGGAGGGAUUAAAGAUGCGAUCCUGUAAAAUCAGAUACACUAAACUUGAGAAUUGGUAGGAAACGGUUUUCUACUUCACAGAGAAGUGGGGUGGGGUGGUGGGAUAGAGGAUGAGUUUUUGAUUUCUAAGAGGUGAAGUUCUAAGUAUUUACUAUAUGCAUUCUAAUCCUACAACAAAAUCAUAAUAACAUUAUACAAAUGUGUCAACUAAGUGAGUAUUGUUGAUAGACUUAAUAGACAAAUUAGGCCCAAAGAAUAAAAAUGACUUUAAUAAAACAGUCCCUCCUUUAUGAAUGCAAAAUUUCUAUGACCUUGAAAUCCCCCAGUUCACUCAUAAACACAACUGUCCUUCACAGUGACCUAAAACGUCAUGAUUGUGUGGCAGAAAACUACAUCAGACCGCCUGGUAUAGAAAAAUAAUUGUUUGUCGCUGCUUUUAUUUCUUAGUGGUAAAAUGCUAAUAUCCUCCUUUACCUGUGGGACACUGUCAAACCAAAGCUAUUCUUCUAGGUGCUCGAAUUGUGCAAAUAUUGGCUGUGAUUUCACACAGUAGAAAUCAUCCCCUACUCGAGGGGCAGGAAAUGGGCUCUGGGUGUCAUAGUUACUUUUUACUCAUUGCUGAGACAAAAUACGUGAUGCCCAAAGUUGGGAAAGGAAAGGUUUAUUUUUACAGCUUUUGGAGGUUUCAGUCCAUACUAGUUGCUCUAAGAAAGGGUAGCAUGGCAGGGCCGCAGUUUAUGGCGGCUGCAAACAGCAAGGCGGAAACCAGCAAAAGAGUGAGACACAGCUUCUUCCUGCCAUAUUGUCUGCUGGCUCCACCCCAUGUGGGUGUAGUACUGACACCAUCAAUCCAAGCACUAGGCAGUAACCCAAUCACAAAUGCAAAUGCAAGAGGCCUAGGGGCCACAGACAUAAACCCUGACACUGGGGUUCCAGGACUCCCAAGGUCCUCAUGUCUCACUGAGGCGGGGAGGCCCCCAGCACCCACCAGCCCCAGAAUAUGCCUCAGAAAGGGCGAGCACAGCCUUGCAGUUACUGGGGUGGUUUAGUGGUCAAUAAGAGAGGAAGCCAACAAAGGCCUGAGCCUAGCCCGGGCUUGCUGCAUUCCAAAGGCUCUUUGAAGGAAAGGCGACUGAAUGACAAAUGGCAGGUUCCUAGGUUCCUUUCAGGGUGAUGGUUUGGAGUUGGGAUUCAGCAAAUCUAGGAGCUAAUUUUAAAGCAUGUUUCUGGAAGCCUUGUAUUUUGAGAUGAAUCCCUAUCCACACUGAAUCAUGCUGUGGGCUGAGGAAGCUUGGGACUUCCAGGAGAAAAUCCUGAAAUCCACUUUAUGCCAUGGAAAUCUGUAAGCUUCAUUACUAUCUGAAUGACAUAUGUCAAAUAAAAUAUAUGGAGAACUACCUGUUUUUGGAUUUUUCUCCUCUGUGCUGGGCCCAAAGGACAGAAUCGAAAUGCAGUCACUUGUGUUGAAUGACAAGUAGUCAAGCGAGACAUUGAAAAACAGGAAUAUCCCUGAACAGAUCAUGCUUCCAAAGCAAGCCAGCAAGCAAGCAAACAAACAAACAGGAGAUUCAUAACAACCAACUGAAAGGGCUCAGCCUGAGGCAGCGUGGUGAGAAGUCUCCUCCGCUCUGCCCAUGUUGAGCAGUCUGCAUUUGGUACGGUGAUGUUUCUUGGUUUUUCCUUGAGCUACUUCACAAGAAAUGACUGUUCAGCCACCAUAGGAGAGACUGCCUGACUCAGGAGUUGCUCACGGACCCCAAUUCAAUGGGUCAAGUCAGUCUAUUGCGGGUUAAGUCUUCCGACUGUGGAAGCACACAUCCACCAGGAAAUGUCCAGGCUGCUCACUCCACUUCUGAGCGCCUGCCAGUGAGUAACAAGGUGGGGACACAAAGCCGUGUGACCUCCAUGAAUGUGGGGUGCUCCUGUGUUAGAGGGCAGCAUGACUUGGCGGAUGUAGUGCUUUUAGAGGUUGUUUUGUGCAGGCAGUGAGCACACUUGGGCAUCAUUAAAAAUCAGCAUGAACACGUCCUCCUUGGAAGAUGCUUUUGUGUUUGUAUUUGCCCCCUCCCGAUGGGGCCUCUGGGAGGAAAGCAAGUCUUCGCGGUGUCCAGAUUUCCAUGCAGACUUAACAAUCUGGCUGCUGAUGCUUUUGUUUAUUCUGCAGAGAAAUCCAACUGGAUCCACAAUGGCAACUAUGCGUUAUACAAAUAUAAACUUAAAAUACCGCUUUUUGUUGUUUUAAAUAAAGAUGCUUCAUACGCCAUGCUAAACUCAAA